rnacentral:rRNA from 1 species
AAAUUGAAGAGUUUGAUCAUGGCUCAGAUUGAACGCUGGCGGCAGGCCUAACACAUGCAAGUCGAACGGUAACAGGAAGCAGCUUGCUGCUUCGCUGACGAGUGGCGGACGGGUGAGUAAUGUCUGGGAAACUGCCUGAUGGAGGGGGAUAACUACUGGAAACGGUGGCUAAUACCGCAUAACGUCGCAAGACCAAAGAGGGGGACCUUCGGGCCUCUUGCCAUCAGAUGUGCCCAGAUGGGAUUAGCUUGUUGGUGAGGUAACGGCUCACCAAGGCGACGAUCCCUAGCUGGUCUGAGAGGAUGACCAGCCACACUGGAACUGAGACACGGUCCAGACUCCUACGGGAGGCAGCAGUGGGGAAUAUUGCACAAUGGGCGCAAGCCUGAUGCAGCCAUGCCGCGUGUAUGAAGAAGGCCUUCGGGUUGUAAAGUACUUUCAGCGGGGAGGAAGGUGUUGCGGUUAAUAACCGCAGCAAUUGACGUUACCCGCAGAAGAAGCACCGGCUAACUCCGUGCCAGCAGCCGCGGUAAUACGGAGGGUGCAAGCGUUAAUCGGAAUUACUGGGCGUAAAGCGCACGCAGGCGGUCUGUCAAGUCGGAUGUGAAAUCCCCGGGCUCA